AUACGUAGGUGGCAAGCGUUGUCCGGAAUUACUGGGUGUAAAGGGCGUGUAGGCGGGGCGGCAAGUCAGAUGUGAAAUACCGUGGCUUAACUGCGGGGGUGCAUCUGAAACUGUCGUUCUUGAGUGUCGGAGAGGAAAGUGGAAUUCCCAGUGUAGCGGUGAAAUGCGUAGAGAUUGGGAGGAACACCAGUGGCGAAGGCGGCUUUCUGGACGAUAACUGACGCUGAGGCGCGAAAGCGUGGGUAGCAAACAGGAUUAGAUACCCUGGUAGUCCACGCCGUAAACGAUGGAUACUAGGUGUAGGAGGUAUCGACCCCUUCUGUGCCGCAGUUAACACAAUAAGUAUCCCACCUGGGGAGUACGGCCGCAAGGUUGAA
rnacentral:rRNA from 1 species